UUGGACAGCUGAAUAAGUCAUAUGAGAUUGGUCUGCAGCAGCAUUCAUACUUCACUGAUGAAGCGGAGCUAAAGCAUGCGGAUCAUUUAAUUGCCUGGCACCUAAGCCAACAGUGGGCAUCCGAACAGGGUGCUGCUGCUCCACAGGUCCUUGGUUGGGCCUUGCACCUAAGCCAACAGUGGGCAUCCGAACAGGGUGCUGCUGCUCCACAGGUCCUUGGUUGGGCCUCAUCUGUAACAGCUGAAUAGAACAAUGAAUCUUAGCAUGAUAUCAACAUAUAUAUUUCAUGGGACCUGUAAAACUCAUCCAUAACAAGAAUUAAACUUGUUCUCAACCUACCUGUGCUUGUAUUU
rnacentral:lncRNA from 1 species